rnacentral:rRNA from 1 species
GGGGUGAUGGGGACUCACAGGAGACUGCCGGGGUCAACUCGGAGGAAGGUGGGGACGACGUCAAGUCAUCAUGCCCCUUAUGUCUUGGGCUGCACACGUGCUACAAUGGCCGGUACAAUGAGCUGCGAUGCCGCGAGGCGGAGCGAAUCUCAAAAAGCCGGUCUCAGUUCGGAUUGGGGUCUGCAACUCGACCCCAUGAAGUCGGAGUUGCUAGUAAUCGCAGAUCAGCAUUGCUGCGGUGAAUACGUUCCCGGGCCUUGUACACACCGCCCGUCACGUCACGAAAGUCGGUAACACCCGAAGCCGGUGGCCCAACCCCUUGUGGGAGGGAGCUGUCGAAGGUGGGACUGGCGAUUGGGACGAAGUCGUAACAAGGUAGCCGUACCGGAAGGUGCGGCUGGAUCACCUCCUUUCUA